rnacentral:tRNA from 1 species
GGUGAUAGCUCAGUGGUAGAGCACAUGCCUCGCAUGCAUGAGGCACUAGGUUUGAUUCUGAGCACCA